rnacentral:rRNA from 1 species
GAGUUUGAUCCUGGCUCAGGACGAACGCUGGCGGCGUGCUUAACACAUGCAAGUCGAACGGUGAUGUCAGAGCUUGCUCUGGCGGAUCAGUGGCGAACGGGUGAGUAACACGUGAGUAACCUGCCCCCGACUCUGGGAUAACUGCUAGAAAUGGUAGCUAAUACCGGAUAUGACGACUGGCCGCAUGGUCUGGUCGUGGAAAGAAUUUCGGUUGGGGAUGGACUCGCGGCCUAUCAGGUUGUUGGUGAGGUAAUGGCUCACCAAGCCUACGACGGGUAGCCGGCCUGAGAGGGUGACCGGCCACACUGGGACUGAGACACGGCCCAGACUCCUACGGGAGGCAGCAGUGGGGAAUAUUGCACAAUGGGCGCAAGCCUGAUGCAGCAACGCCGCGUGAGGGAUGACGGCCUUCGGGUUGUAAACCUCUUUUAGUAGGGAAGAAGCGAAA